UUUUUCUUUAUUGUUAUAUUUCAUUUUGUUUUGGUUUAUUUAUUUAUUUAUUUUUGAGAAAAUUGAUGUCCAUUAUUUUAAUGCUUGUACACUUGUAUAGUUUUCUUGGCCUAAUAAUGUGAUUAGAGAAAAUUCAACACUGAAUUAUGCCCCUUUUUUGUUGAAUCCAAAUACACAACUAACGAAGAACUUUGAAACAUUCCACCCUUUUUACUAGUUUAGCAACCAUCAUACAAACCCAAAAUGACUUUACUUUCAUUGGUUAGAUGCACAAUAAAGUGGUUCUAGGUAGCCAUAUAACAUAGUUAAGGUCACACUUGUCUUAGGGAAGAUCCAGCAAAAAUGACUUUAAUUUCAUUGGUUAGAUGUGAAAAAGUCCAGCUUAACCUCCAAUUGGAUUUCAUUCUAAGCCUUUUGUUUUCUAUAGAGAGAGGUGAGUUUUAGAUAUUUUUUCCUCCCAUUAUAUACAGCUUCUAGAAACAAAAUUGCAUGCUUUGUGAAGUCUCACUCUAUUCUAUGGCUGAGUUUUUAAACUAGGAAGUACUAAAAAAACGUAUUGAUUUAUUUGAUCAUUACUUCUCAUGUCCUGGUUGCAACCAAAAAACAGGCUGCAGCCCCAAAACCCAACAGUAGCCACCAAAAAACAGGAAAAUAAAACAGAACUGCCACCAUCGUAGCUCAAUUGGAGAUCUGGCUGCAGCCCCAAAUCCAGAAUAGAACACACUCAAAGCUCCACAUUUCCACCUAAACACCUUCUAAUCUGGCUAAGGAGGAGAAGAUGAAGGGAAGAAACAAAGAGGUGGUGACUAGGGAGUACACCAUCAACCUCCACAAGCACUUGCACAGCUAAGACGUUGAAUUUGAAAAGUGCAAAUGAAUAUAAAUACUUGAGGCAAAGCAAUUGCUAUUCAAUUUCUGGGGUUGAUGAUGCUAGACAGUUUCGCAUUGUAAUGGAAGCUCUGGAUAUUGUUCAUGUUAGCAAAGAGGAUCAAGAAAGUGUAUUUAAAAUGCUCACUGCAGUUUUGUGGUUGGGGAAUGUCUCCUUUACAGUGAUUGAUAAUGAAAACCAUGUUGAACCUGUGGCAGAUGAAGGUAACAAUCUACUAAAAAGAUAAAGUUUAACAGUUGCAUGGUUGUUUUGUUCAUUUGAUUUGUUGUUAUUUAUUUUGCUUGUAGGUGGAUUAUUGGCUGUAGGUAGCAACACUCCUAUUUGAAUGAACAAUCCUAUUUAUUGCAGUUUGGACAUACGAAUCCAUACUAGCCCUCCUUGAGCCUGUUGCUCUUGAGUAUGACCCCAUGCACCUCAGUUCAAGGGUUCAAAUGCUAGUGAUGGAUUGCUAAAAUUGGACAUGGCAAUCCUUGUUGCAGUGAAGAGGUUUUGAAACCCCUUUAAAAAAAUUACAUUGCUGAUGGUACUUCAUGAA